ACUGAGGGAGGACAGGGUCGGGCUGGGCUGUGGGGGCCGGGUUGAGGGAGGACGGAGCCGGGCCGGGUGAGGUGGGACCGGCCCCGUCGAGGCAGCAUGUCGGGAGCGGCGAGGACGGCCAUCUGCCUGCUGCGCUGCGAUCUGCGCGCCCACGAUAACCAGGUGCUCCACUGGGCUCAGGGCAACGCGGAUUUCAUUAUUCCCCUCUACUGCUUCGACCCACGGCACUACCUGGGCACCCACUGCUACGGCUUCCCGAAGACGGGGCCCCAUCGGCUCAGGUUUUUGCUGGAAAGUGUGAAGGAUCUAAGGGAAACGCUCAAGAAAAAAGGAAGUACCCUCGUUGUGAGGAAGGGGAAGCCGGAAGAUGUGGUCCGUGAUCUCAUUUCUCAGUUGGGCUCUGUCAGUGCUUUGGCUUUCCAUGAAGAGGCCACGCAGGAGGAGCUGGAUGUGGAGAAGGGGCUGUGCCAGGUGUGUAGUCAGCACGGGGUGAAGAUCCAGACAUUCUGGGCAUCCACGCUGUAUCAUCGGGACGACCUUCCCUUCAGGCCUAUUUCCAGGUUGCCCGAUGUCUACACUCAUUUCCGAAAAGCGGUGGAAUCUGAGGCGCGGGUCCGGCCAACCCUGCGAAUGGCAGAUCAGCUAAGGCCUCUGGCUCCAGGGGUGGAAGAAGGGUGUAUCCCUACAAUGGAGGAUUUGGGACAGAAGGACGCUGUGACUGAUCCACGAACAGCCUUCCCCUGCAGUGGAGGAGAGACCCAGGCUUUAAUGAGACUGCAGUAUUAUUUUUGGGACACGAACCUGGUUGCAUCCUACAAGGAGACUCGGAAUGGACUGGUGGGAAUGGAUUACUCAACCAAAUUUGCACCAUGGCUGGCGCUGGGCUGCAUUUCACCUCGAUACAUCUAUGAGCAGAUCCAGAAGUAUGAAAAAGAGAGAACGGCAAAUCAGAGCACAUACUGGGUCCUGUUUGAACUGCUGUGGCGGGAUUACUUUCGAUUUGUGGCCCUGAAGUAUGGCAAAAGGAUUUUCUCAUUAAGAGGCCUUCAAAGUAAAGAAGUCCCCUGGAAGAAGGACCUUCAGCUCUUUGACUGUUGGAAAGAGGGCAAAACAGGGGUUCCUUUUGUCGAUGCCAACAUGCGAGAGCUGGCUGCGACCGGCUUCAUGUCUAACAGAGGGCGGCAGAAUGUUGCCAGCUUUCUCACCAAGGACCUGGGUCUGGACUGGAGGAUGGGGGCAGAAUGGUUCGAAUACCUGCUGGUGGAUUACGAUGUUUGUAGCAAUUACGGCAACUGGUUAUACAGCGCUGGUAUUGGCAACGACCCACGGGACAACAGGAAGUUUAACAUGAUUAAACAAGGCCUGGAUUACGAUGGCAAUGUAAGUCUUGUUUGCCUGUCUUAUAAAGAAGAGUGCAGCAAAGCACAUGUGGUAGUUUCAGGGAGCAGAGGAGAUCAAUCUGCUGUGUGGAUACUGCUGCAAAAACACUUCUGCGAUCUCCUCGCCAACAGUCAGGCAGGUUCCUCGUUGUUGUACAGGAAGAUCUGACGUUUACAAUCUGCUGCUCUCCCCAAAGAGGCUGGUGCUCUGUACGCCCUCCCUGCCCUGCCCAUGGUCUGUGUGUUUAGUGUUUCAUCACCGUUUCUUCCGGGUAACAGCCACAUCCCAUCCGUAUCUCACAUUUCCUUGGGCGCAGAGCAGCUUGUCGGAGGACUCGAAAGUGACAGGAGAGACUGAGCUGCUCACGUGGUGCCUCGGGAGGUCCUGGAGAGUAGAUUAAACCUGUGACUCCUCUGAUUGUCCUCUGUAAGUGGUGGGAGCAGCUAAAUCGCCCUUUCCAUGUGCUUAGCCAGUGUUCACAUGCCAAAUUACCUGUUUCCCCCCUAUUCCUUAGCUUCAUGGCAAGCCGCGGUGUUGCCUUUCAGCACAGUAGCUGGCAGGACUUAGCAAGGAGUCGGAAAUUAGUCCUAGUAGGGGACACAGCAGUAGAGUUAGUGGGAGAUUUGGGGGCAGGGGGGUUCAUCUUGCCCAGCACAGAGGUGGGUGUGCAGCUGACCGAGGAACCCUAGUUUCCUUUACAGUCACUGGAAAGAAAAAGGGACUUCUUGGGAGUGACUUCAUCUCACUAUGUCCUAAAUAGGGCAGGUGAACUGUACCAGAAAAGCACCUCUGCCUCCCCUUGCUGCCUGCAGAGUGAGCCUGGGAGAGGAGCUCCAGUAUCUAUGUCUCUGUGUUUAAGCGCUAAUUCUCAGCAGAGGGUUUAGCGGGAGGGGCCGAGACUCGGCAGAGGGGGAUUAUGUCCGGCUGUGGCUCCCAGAACUACAGGGCAUAAAGGGUGCAGAUAUUCACACCCCUUGGGCACUGAACAGUGCUGCUCUCUCCCAGGCCGGAGUAACUCUAGGCGAGACCUACCCAC